UAAAAGUCCCGAACAGUAUCCAUGGACCAAACUGUGUUUACACAGGAUGGUUCAUGGAUAUUGGAUGGGCUAACCUGUAUGAACAAGGAGAGUGAUAGCUCGGAUUGUGAAUACAGGUGGCGAUGUCGAGAGUGCACAGCCCGAAGACAUCGACUUUCA
rnacentral:sRNA from 1 species